AGCGUACACGGUGGAUGCCCUGGCAGUCAGAGGCGAUGAAGGACGUGCUAAUCUGCGAUAAGCGUCGGUAAGGUGAUAUGAACCGUUAUAACCGGCGAUUUCCGAAUGGGGAAACCCAGUGUGUUUCGACACACUAUCAUUAACUGAAUCCAUAGGUUAAUGAGGCGAACCGGGGGAACUGAAACAUCUAAGUACCCCGAGGAAAAGAAAUCAACCGAGAUUCCCCCAGUAGCGGCGAGCGAACGGGGAGCAGCCCAGAGCCUGAAUCAGUAUGUGUGUUAGUGGAAGCGUCUGGAAAGGCGCGCGAUACAGGGUGACAGCCCCGUACACAAAAAUGCACAUGCUGUGAGCUCGAUGAGUAGGGCGGGACACGUGGUAUCCUGUCUGAAUAUGGGGGGACCAUCCUCCAAGGCUAAAUACUCCUGACUGACCGAUAGUGAACCAGUACCGUGAGGGAAAGGCGAAAAGAACCCCGGCGAGGGGAGUGAAAAAGAACCUGAAACCGUGUACGUACAAGCAGUGGGAGCACGCUUAGGCGUGUGACUGCGUACCUUUUGUAUAAUGGGUCAGCGACUUAUAUUCUGUAGCAAGGUUAACCGAAUAGGGGAGCCGAAGGGAAACCGAGUCUUAACUGGGCGUUAAGUUGCAGGGUAUAGACCCGAAACCCGGUGAUCUAGCCAUGGGCAGGUUGAAGGUUGGGUAACACUAACUGGAGGACCGAACCGACUAAUGUUGAAAAAUUAGCGGAUGACUUGUGGCUGGGGGUGAAAGGCCAAUCAAACCGGGAGAUAGCUGGUUCUCCCCGAAAGCUAUUUAGGUAGCGCCUCGUGAAUUCAUCUCCGGGGGUAGAGCACUGUUUCGGCAAGGGGGUCAUCCCGACUUACCAACCCGAUGCAAACUGCGAAUACCGGAGAAUGUUAUCACGGGAGACACACGGCGGGUGCUAACGUCCGUCGUGAAGAGGGAAACAACCCAGACCGCCAGCUAAGGUCCCAAAGUCAUGGUUAAGUGGGAAACGAUGUGGGAAGGCCCAGACAGCCAGGAUGUUGGCUUAGAAGCAGCCAUCAUUUAAAGAAAGCGUAAUAGCUCACUGGUCGAGUCGGCCUGCGCGGAAGAUGUAACGGGGCUAAACCAUGCACCGAAGCUGCGGCAGCGACGCUGAUGCGUUGUUGGGUAGGGGAGCGUUCUGUAAGCCUGCGAAGGUGUGCUGUGAGGCAUGCUGGAGGUAUCAGAAGUGCGAAUGCUGACAUAAGUAACGAUAAAGCGGGUGAAAAGCCCGCUCGCCGGAAGACCAAGGGUUCCUGUCCAACGUUAAUCGGGGCAGGGUGAGUCGACCCCUAAGGCGAGGCCGAAAGGCGUAGUCGAUGGGAAACAGGUUAAUAUUCCUGUACUUGGUGUUACUGCGAAGGGGGGACGGAGAAGGCUAUGUUGGCCGGGCGACGGUUGUCCCGGUUUAAGCGUGUAGGCUGGUUUUCCAGGCAAAUCCGGAAAAUCAAGGCUGAGGCGUGAUGACGAGGCACUACGGUGCUGAAGCAACAAAUGCCCUGCUUCCAGGAAAAGCCUCUAAGCAUCAGGUAACAUCAAAUCGUACCCCAAACCGACACAGGUGGUCAGGUAGAGAAUACCAAGGCGCUUGAGAGAACUCGGGUGAAGGAACUAGGCAAAAUGGUGCCGUAACUUCGGGAGAAGGCACGCUGAUAUGUAGGUGAAGUCCCUCGCGGAUGGAGCUGAAAUCAGUCGAAGAUACCAGCUGGCUGCAACUGUUUAUUAAAAACACAGCACUGUGCAAACACGAAAGUGGACGUAUACGGUGUGACGCCUGCCCGGUGCCGGAAGGUUAAUUGAUGGGGUUAGCCGCAAGGCGAAGCUCUUGAUCGAAGCCCCGGUAAACGGCGGCCGUAACUAUAACGGUCCUAAGGUAGCGAAAUUCCUUGUCGGGUAAGUUCCGACCUGCACGAAUGGCGUAAUGAUGGCCAGGCUGUCUCCACCCGAGACUCAGUGAAAUUGAACUCGCUGUGAAGAUGCAGUGUACCCGCGGCAAGACGGAAAGACCCCGUGAACCUUUACUAUAGCUUGACACUGAACAUUGAGCCUUGAUGUGUAGGAUAGGUGGGAGGCUUUGAAGUGUGGACGCCAGUCUGCAUGGAGCCGACCUUGAAAUACCACCCUUUAAUGUUUGAUGUUCUAACGUUGACCCGUAAUCCGGGUUGCGGACAGUGUCUGGUGGGUAGUUUGACUGGGGCGGUCUCCUCCUAAAGAGUAACGGAGGAGCACGAAGGUUGGCUAAUCCUGGUCGGACAUCAGGAGGUUAGUGCAAUGGCAUAAGCCAGCUUGACUGCGAGCGUGACGGCGCGAGCAGGUGCGAAAGCAGGUCAUAGUGAUCCGGUGGUUCUGAAUGGAAGGGCCAUCGCUCAACGGAUAAAAGGUACUCCGGGGAUAACAGGCUGAUACCGCCCAAGAGUUCAUAUCGACGGCGGUGUUUGGCACCUCGAUGUCGGCUCAUCACAUCCUGGGGCUGAAGUAGGUCCCAAGGGUAUGGCUGUUCGCCAUUUAAAGUGGUACGCGAGCUGGGUUUAGAACGUCGUGAGACAGUUCGGUCCCUAUCUGCCGUGGGCGCUGGAGAACUGAGGGGGGCUGCUCCUAGUACGAGAGGACCGGAGUGGACGCAUCACUGGUGUUCGGGUUGUCAUGCCAAUGGCACUGCCCGGUAGCUAAAUGCGGAAGAGAUAAGUGCUGAAAGCAUCUAAGCACGAAACUUGCCCCGAGAUGAGUUCU
rnacentral:rRNA from 1 species